UGAAUACGAGACGCUACGGCGUCGAAGCAGUCUAUGUCAUACUUCCAAGAAAAGCUCGCAAUGUCAUAAACAAAUAAUGCCUGUACCAUAACCGACACAGGUGGGUAGGUAGAGUAUACUAAGGGGCGCGGGAUAACUCUCUCUAAGGAACUCGGCAAAAUGACUCCGUAACUUCGGGAGAAGGAGUGCCUUAUUUAUAAGGUUGCAAUAACAAGAUCCAAGCAACUGUUUAUCAAAAACACAGGUCUCCGCUAAGUCGUAAGACGAUGUAUGGGGGCUGACGCCUGCCCAGUGCCAGAAGGUUAAAGAAGUUGGUUAGCAUUCGCGAAGCUGAUAACUGAAGCCCUGGUGAACGGCGGCCGUAACGAUAACGGUCCUAAGGUAGCGAAAUUCCUUGUCGGGUAAGUUCCGACCCGCACGAAAGGCGUAAUGAUUUGGAUACUGUCUCGGAGAGGGGCUCGGUGAAAUAGACUUGUCUGUGAAGAUGCGGACUACCUGCACCUGGACAGAAAGACCCUAUGAAGCUUUACUGUAACUUGAAAUUGAAAUUGGACUUUAUUUGCGCAGCAUAGGUGGGAGGCGUUGAGAGUAUUCUUGCGGGAAUAUUGGAGCCAUCAGUGAGAUACCACUCUUGUAAUGUUAGAUUUCUAACUUUGGAUCAUUAUCUGGUCAAAGAACAGUUUCAGGCGGGCAGUUUGACUGGGGCGGUCGCCUCCCAAAUGGUAACGGAGGCGUACAAAGGUUUCCUCUGAACGGGUAGAAAUCGUAUCUAGAGUGUAAAGGCAUAAGGAAGCUUGACUGUGAGACCUACAAGUCGAGCAGGGACGAAAGUCGGUCUUAGUGAUCUGACGGUGCUGAGUGGAAAGGCCGUCACUCAACGGAUAAAAGUUACUCUAGGAUAACAGGCUGAUCUCCCCCAAGAGUUCACAUCGACGGGGAGGUUUGGCACCUCGAUGUCGGCUCAUCGCAUCCUGGGGCGGUAGUACGUCCCAAGGGUUGGGCUGUUCGCCCAUGAAAGCAGUACGCGAGCUGGGUUCAGAACGUCGUGAGACAGUUCGGUCCAUAUCCGGUGUAGGCGUUAGAAUAUUGAGAGGAGCCUUCUUUAGUACGAGAGGACCGAGAAGGACAUACCUUUGGUGUACCAGUUAUCGUGCCAACGGUAAACGCUGGGUAGCUAUGUAUGGAGAGGAUAACCGCUGAAAGCAUCUAAGUGGGAAGCCCACCUCAAGAUAAGUAUUCUCA
rnacentral:rRNA from 1 species